rnacentral:rRNA from 1 species
AUUGAACGCUGGCGGCAUGCCUUACACAUGCAAGUCGAACGGCAGCACGGGUGCUUGCACCUGGUGGCGAGUGGCGAACGGGUGAGUAAUACAUCGGAACAUGUCCUGUAGUGGGGGAUAGCCCGGCGAAAGCCGGAUUAAUACCGCAUACGAUCCACGGAUGAAAGCGGGGGACCUUCGGGCCUCGCGCUAUAGGGUUGGCCGAUGGCUGAUUAGCUAGAUGGUGGGGUAAAGGCCUACCAAGGCGACGAUCAGUAGCUGGUCUGAGAGGACGACCAGCCACACUGGGACUGAGACACGGCCCAGACUCCUACGGGAGGCAGCAGUGGGGAAUUUUGGACAAUGGGCGAAAGCCUGAUCCAGCAAUGCCGCGUGUGUGAAGAAGGCCUUCGGGUUGUAAAGCACUUUUGUCCGGAAAGAAAUCCUUGACUCUAAUACAGUCGGGGGAUGACGGUACCGGAAGAAUAAGCACCGGCUAACUACGUG